GGACAGAUGGCCGAGCUGGUUAUGGCGCCAGGUUAAGGUCCUGGUCACGAAAGUGGCGUGGGUUCGAGUCCCACUCUGUUCA
rnacentral:tRNA from 8 species